CUCAGCGGGGCUCAGGCCUACCUGGAAUAAAUCACUUCCCAGCCUGCCUUGCGGCGGCGUGCAGCCAUGUGACCAAGUUCUGCCCAAUGAGAGGUAAGAAGAAGCAUCACGUGACAACUCCGGGCUGCCUCCUUAAAUCAAAAGGGGGGGGUCGGACUCCUGCAGCCGCGAGGAGCCCAAGGAGACGCGAGUCAAGGUCCUGUGGGAUCCCGGCACCGGGAAAACACACCGGGUAAAGACUAGGGCAAUCCGGAGGAAGCGCGGACUUUAGCGACGGAUAAAUGUGUCGAUGUUUGUUCGUUGAUCACACCAAGUGGACCAUAAUAGCGGCGUGGCCUUUCUUCUCUGGCUUCCGUCCCGCCGUCAGAAACUUGGAUGUGAUGGCUGGAGCUCAGGCAGCCGCCUUGGGCCACAGGAAGGGCCCUGUUGCAGGGAGGCAGAGAGGAGCCCACCCUGCUGUCAACUUCUCGGAGGCUCCGUACCAGCUCUGGCUCCACGCUCUUUCAUGCUAGAGAAUAAAAAAUACUGUGUGUUAAAGCCA